CCUGACUCUGGGAUAAGCGGUGGAAACGCCGUCUAAUACCGGAUACGACCCGCCACCUCAUGGUGGAGGGUGGAAAGUUUUUCGGUCAGGGAUGGGCUCGCGGCCUAUCAGCUUGUUGGUGGGGUAACGGCCUACCAAGGCGAUUACGGGUAGCCGGCCUGAGAGGGCGACCGGCCACACUGGGACUGAGACACGGCCCAGACUCCUGCGGGAGGCAGCAGUGGGGAAUAUUGCGCAAUGGGCGAAAGCCUGACGCAGCGACGCCGCGUGGGGGAUGACGGCCUUCGGGUUGUAAACCUCUUUUACCACCAACGCAGGCUUCCAGUUCUCUGGAGGUUGACGGUAGGUGGGGAAUAAGGACCGGCUAACUACGUGCCAGCAGCCGCGGUAAUACGUAGGGUCCGAGCGUUGUCCGGAAUUAUUGGGCGUAA
rnacentral:rRNA from 1 species